UACGGGGGGGGCAAGCGUUGUUCGGAAUUACUGGGCGUAAAGGGCUCGUAGGUGGCCAACUAAGUCAGACGUGAAAUCCCUCAGCUUAACUGGGGAACUGCGUCUGAUACUGGAUGGCUUGAGGUUGGGAGAGGGAUGCGGAAUUCCAGGUGUAGCGGUGAAAUGCGUAGAUAUCUGGAGGAACACCGGUGGCGAAGGCGGCAUCCUGGACCAAUUCUGACACUGAGGAGCGAAAGCCAGGGGAGCAAACGGG
rnacentral:rRNA from 1 species